rnacentral:tRNA from 1 species
GCCCGGGUGGCUCAGUCGCUUAAGCGUCUGACUUCAGCUCAGGUCAUGAUCUCACAGUUUGUGAGUUCGAGCCCCACAUUGGGCU